GGAAUAUUGGACAAUGGGCGAAAGCCUGAUCCAGCAAUGCCGCGUGCAGGAAGAAGGCCUUCGGGUUGUAAACUGCUUUUGUACGGAACGAAACGGUCCUGGUUAAUACCUGGGGCUAAUGACGGUCCCGUAAGAAUAAGCCCCGGCUAACUACGUUCUAGCAGCCGCGGUAAUACGUAGGGUGCAAGCGUUAAUCGGAAUUCCUGGGCGUAAAGCGUGCGCAGGCGGUUUUGUAAGACAGGCGUGAAAUCCCCGGGCUUAACCUGGGAAUGGCGCUUGUGACUGCAAAGCUGGAGUGCGGCAGAGGGGGAUGGAAUUCCGCGUGUAGCAGUGAAAUGCGUAGAUAUGCGGAGGAACACCGAUGGCGAAGGCAAUCCCCUGGGCCUGCACUGACGCUCAUGUACGAAAGCGUGGGGAGCAAA
rnacentral:rRNA from 1 species